GCAAAAAAGUAAGCUGUUUGGGGCAAGUUAUCUUGAUGAAGAUCUUCAUAAGGGGGAAGGCAGAGUGUGGGUUGAUUUCGAGCACUUGUAUCAUUUCUACCAACAGGUUGCUCUCGACGUCUCAAUUAUGACCUUGUGGACUGUAAUGGAGUCACACAAAUGUAGACGAUGUGGGAUUAACAAUAUAGGCUUCUUGGACCCUAGCACCGUACAUGAGAACACAGUCAAUUUACCAAGUACCGUUGACUACUUGUACAAAGAUUUCCUCUCCAUGCAGGAUAAAAGAUCCAUACUUCUUUCAUACAAUUGCUUUUAUCAUCAUGUCCUACUCGAUAUC